GGUCGGUAGGUCGGAAAUAAAAUUUUUUUUUGAAUAUUUUUUUCAUGGUUUUGGCAGUUUUUUGCUGGGCGAUUUGCAGUAGAGUCCCAACAUCAAUAUUAACUAGAGAUGCGUAUUUCCUAUGGACGAAUUUAGGCAAUUUGGUUCAAUAAUUAGUGUGACAACAGACGCCAUUUUGGCACGCUGUACGAGCAGCCAGCAACCACCUGGAGAAAAUAGGGUCACACGGUCAAUCGCGUUGAAAAAAUAAUAGGGUCGGCAGAAAAAAAUAGGGUCGGUUGGGAACCGGAACCACAGGUAUUUUUUU